ACUUCCUGAAUAUCAGUUUUAAAAGAUAACAGCUGAAUACUUGAUGAAGAAAGGAAGAGCUGUGAGCCAAACCUGUAACUCAGGGCUGGAACCAACACGUUCCACAGCAUCAUGCUGGAAUAUUGGUAGAAGAUUAAUGAAGUAUAAUGGAGCCAAGCAUAGAGUCAGAUCCCUACAAAAGCAGAAGAAACAUGUCAGAGAGAGAAUUCCCUUUUCUUCAGUGCCAUAUGGGUUUUGUGAAUGAGUUGGGGCUGUGGAGGCAGUCACUAUACUGCAUGGGGAUGCAGCUGUAACAGUUUCUUUUCCACCGCUCCCAGUUCUUUAUUACUCAUACAAACAAAGAUGCUCCCCCUAUCUAAAUAGUAAGAAACACAUUCAUCGAAUCUGUCAUCCCUGGUAUAUUCAGUCAUGUGUUUAAUCAGGUUCUUACUUCUGUCUUGCUGUUUUUCAGCCCAAUUGAAGCAGCA